CACCAAAAAUAUAAAUCACGCAUACAAAUGUGACACGUCCCUGAACGGCCAAAGCCAACGGCCGGGUGGAAACCAUUCCCAAUAUAGGGAAAUGAACUGUUAAUGCAGGAAAGUAAAGAUCUGGGUCGGGAAAGAGCAGCCCCGAGCUCCGAAGGGAAAUAAAUACGCAUGUUAUAGUGAUAGCAUCAACAGGUUAAAUGGGAUGUUGUGGGGGCUGCUUUUAACGGGUGACACGUCCAACGCAGGCGGCGUAUUUCAGCCAGCCGGGGGAACCUCUGUCCAUAAAUGGCGGGGGACAACUCAUCAUUUGCUCCACUUGAGUCUGCCACGAAACCGAAUGGAAGUGGCGCCUUCUGGAAUUCCAGUACAAAAGGCCCAGCUGAUCCAAAACUCCAAACGCUACCGUGGAAUAUGGGCCUCCAAGAUGGAAGGUAACUGAUGACAUUGAAAACAGUAUGGACAUGAGGCAUGAAAGGUGACAUCAACAUCGUUCACCCAAGGAGUCAUUUACUUGAGAUUUACAACCAACCAUAAGAGAAAAGUGGAAAUUUAUGAAAGACUUCCAUCUGGCAGGAUGUUUCAUUAGUAUUCAAGAUGAUAGCAGCAAUGAUUUAAAUUUAAUAAUCCAAGUGGAGAUAUGCAUCAAAAAUUCUUCUAAAAUAUGUCUAAUAGCGAUAACUGACUUCUUUAUUAGAUUCUGCCCAUGAAAAAAUUCAGAUAUCAAUGAAUAAAGACAUCAUAUGUUAAUCUCA
rnacentral:lncRNA from 1 species